rnacentral:rRNA from 1 species
UACGUAGGUGGCAAGCGUUGUCCGGAUUUAUUGGGCGUAAAGCGCGCGCAGGCGGUCUACCUAAGUCUGAUGUGAAAUCUCGUGGCUCAACCACGAGCGGUCAUUGGAAACUGGGAGACUUGAGUACAGAAGAGGAGAGUGGAAUUCCACGUGUAGCGGUGAAAUGCGUAGAUAUGUGGAGGAACACCAGUGGCGAAGGCGACUCUCUGGUCUGUAACUGACGCUGAGGCGCGAAAGCGUGGGGAGCGAACAGG